AACGAACGCUGGCGGCAGGCCUAAAACAUGCAAGUCGAACGAACCUUCGGGUUAGUGGCGCACGGGUGCGUAACGCGUGGGAAUAUGCCUCUUGGUGCGGAACAACGUCUGGAAACGGACGCUAAUACCGCAUAAUAUCUACGGAACAAAGAUUUAUCGCCAAGAGAUUAGCCCGCGUCUGAUUAGCUAGUUGGUGAGGUAAUGGCUCACCAAGGCGACGAUCAGUAGCUGGUCUGAGAGGAUGAUCAGCCACACUGAAACUGAGACACGGUCCAGACUCCUACGGGAGGCAGCAGUUGGGAAUAUUGGACAAUGGGGGAAACCCUGAUCCAGCCAUGCCGCGUGUGUGAAGAAGGCCUUAGGGUUGUAAAGCACUUUCGGCUGUGAAGAUAAUGACAGUAGCAGAAGAAGAAGCUCCGGCUAAAUUCGUGCCAGCCGCCGCAGUAA
rnacentral:rRNA from 1 species